rnacentral:tRNA from 1 species
GAGAUGUUAGUAAAACAAUUACAUAGCCUUGUCAAGACUAAG